rnacentral:lncRNA from 1 species
CUACAUUACAAAAUCUGUCCAUAUUGUAAAGUUUCAACAUUUCUAUCACUUUAUAACUCCAAUUUUUAAUUUUAUAACUACUUUUUCUAAUUGACCAUAUAAAUACUUUAUAAUUUAUCCUGUCUUUAUCCAUUUUUGUACAUCUUGCCCAGUGUCUAAAAAUGUUUGACCACUGUUUAACAUAUGGAGGCUUCCAACCCAUGUCACCUGAAACAGCAUCAU